UCUGCCUCCCUUCCCCUGCGUGACAGGACUGCUCAGGCUGGGCGUGGGAGGGAGCCACAAACUCAGCUCAUCGCCUCCUCCACCUUUCUUGACAUGUGUAAAGUUUUGUUCAUUUUUGUUUGUUAGGUCUGGAGACAAGCCUUGCGGAAAGUCAGCGCUGGGGCUUUAGCUCCACAUCGUCCUACUCUGCCUUUCCUGGGACGCAGAUGUCCUUGGGUUUCAAACCUGAACAGGGGGAAGAUUCAUCCUAGCCAGGCGUGAAGAUCCCACAGGAUUGUUCUGGUGUUGUUCCAGGGCACCUGUGCUACGUGGGGCGUGCGUCAGGAAUAAACACCGAUUCUUGUUGGCAUAGACCGAAGAACAUCUACUGGAGAGCACAGCGUGGGCAAUUUGCUCUGUCUUGUAGUAUGCUGGGUAAAUGUACCGUCUCUCUUGGUUGCAGCCUUCAGGAGCAUAGCAAAAAUGACUAACCGCUCCCUGGUAAAGGCAACGCAGAACAGCAACAAGGACCGUGAGAUUUGUGUGCUAAGUGCCAUUUUGGGCCCAGGGAAGAAGUGA
rnacentral:lncRNA from 1 species